GUCUCAAGACGUCUGGAACGUCCAAGAGAAGUCAGCCGAGGUCAUAGUAGUUAUCGGAAACGAGCUGUAAAUACUACAGAGGUCUCACUAGAUAAUGAAGGAC
rnacentral:ncRNA from 1 species